CCUACGGGUGGCAGCAGUGGGGAAUAUUGCACAAUGGGGGAAACCCUGAUGCAGCGACGCCGCGUGAGUGAAGAAGUAUUUCGGUAUGUAAAGCUCUGUCAGCAGGGAAGAAAAUGACGGUACCUGACCAAGAAGCCCCGGCUAACUACGUGCCAGCAGCCGCGGUAAUACGUAGGGGGCAAGCGUUAUCCGGAUUUACUGGGUGUAAAGGGAGCGUAGACGGCAGGGCAAGUCUGGAGUGAAAGGCGGGGGCUCAACCCCCGGACUGCUCUGGAAACUGCCAGGCUGGAGUGCCGGAGAGGUAGGCGGAAGUCCUAGUGUAGCGGUGAAAUGCGUAGAUAUUAGGAGGAACACCAGUGGCGAAGGCGGCCUACUGGACGGUGACUGACGCUGAGGCUCGAAAGCGUGGGGAGCAAACAGGAUUAGAUACCCCGGUAGUC
rnacentral:rRNA from 1 species